rnacentral:rRNA from 1 species
CCUACGGGAGGCAGCAGUGAGGAAUAUUGGUCAAUGGGCGCGAGCCUGAACCAGCCAAGUCGCGUGAGGGAAGACGGUCCUAUGGAUUGUAAACCUCUUUUGUCGGGGAGCAAAAGACGCCACGCGUGGCGGUCCGAGAGUACCCGAAGAAAAAGCAUCGGCUAACUCCGUGCCAGCAGCCGCGGUAAUACGGAGGCUGCGAGCGUUAUCCGGAUUUAUUGGUUUUAAAGGGUGCGCAGGCGGAAGAUCAAGUCAGCGGUAAAAUUGAGGUGCUAAACCUUUUCGAGCCGUUGAAACUGGUUUUCUUGAGUGAGUGAGAAGUAUGCGGAAUGCGUGGUGUAGCGGUGAAAUGCAGAGAUAUCACGCAGAACUCCGAUUGCGAAGGCAGCAUACCGGCGCUCAACUGACGCUCAUGCACGAAAGUGUGGGUAUCGAACAGGAUUAGAUACCCCAGUAGUC